GUUUGUCCAUCUUUGUAUGGAUAUUUUUCUCAAUAUACACUGUACAAAUUAACUAUCUUUGUAUUGGGAUGGGGACUGUGUUGAGGAAUAUAGAGGUGAGGCAUUAUUUUUAGUUCACAAAAAAGCAUCUGGUUUUUUUUAUCCACAUAUUGUAGAGGCUCUUGUUGUCUUUUAUAGAAUGGGGUAGUAUUGGACGGUGGAUUUCAUCACAUAGUUGGGCAAUCAAAUUGCCUUUUUCUCAUUGAAGCUCUCCACGGCAAAUCUAGAUGUCUGGUUCCUUUCUAACUGGUUGUUGAUGACAUUUUGAAGCGAAGUUCCCUGUUCUCAACUUUCUCAUUCUGCUUUUGCUAAGGGUAACUGUUAUGUGGUUGCCCAUUCAUUAGCCCAAUUAGCUAUUGAUAUUGAUGUGGAGUUUGUUCUUAUGGAAGACAUUCCUCGUUGUAUCCAAGCUUUUGUUAGAAGUGAUAUUGUCACUUAUGUUUUAAUGAAAUUUAAUUUCCUCUAAAAAACUGUUAAGGCAUUUUUAAUUAGUUUGUUUAAGGAGAUGAAGAGAAUGACAGUUUUAAUUUUUCAAUAUGGAAAAAAAAUGUUUUAAGUAAGACAACAACAUUGACAAAAAACUGUUGUUAGUUUUCUGAAAAUAAAAAACAAAAGCCAGCAAUGUUAUCAAACACGACCUAAAUUUCUAUAUUUUCAUAAACUUGUCAAUCAAUCAUACAUUUAGGGCAAAGAUGUGAUGAAUUGAAAACUUAAAAUCUGAAGUUGAGAAAUUAUCAUUAGGAUGCCGACUGCUUAAGGUCAUGAAAUCCUUAAUUACUAGAUGUUCAUAUAACCUGAACAAGGACGGGAAAUGACAGUUUUAAUCUUUCUAAUUAUCAACUUAAUUUCUUCCUCACAGUGAUAACAAAGAAUAAAUACCUUUUAGUUGGAAUAUUGUUGCA
rnacentral:misc_RNA from 1 species